rnacentral:rRNA from 1 species
GGGUGCGAUCAUACCAUCUUUAAUGCAUCAGAUCCCAUCAAAACUCUGUGGUUAAGCACACUUGGGCUAGAGUAGUACUGUGAUGGGUGACCUCCUGGGAAGUCCUA